UCCAGGAAUAUUAUAUCUGCUACAUCCUCC
rnacentral:piRNA from 1 species